UCAGUUCAGAUCGUAGGCUGCAACUCGCCUACGUGAAGGAGGAAUCGCUAGUAAUCGCAGGUCAGCAUACUGCGGUGAAUACGUUCCCGGGCCUUGUACACACCGCCCGUCACACCAUGGAAGUUGGCCACGCCCGAAGCCGUUACUCCAACCCUUGUGGAGGAGGACGUCGAAGGUGGGGCUGAUGACUGGGGUGAAGUCGUAACAAGGUAGCCGUACCGGAAGGUGCGGCUGGAUCACCUCCUAACAGGGAGACAACACAAUGAUUUUGAUGCCUGAGUACUUUUAUUCUUAGGCCGAAAUCCUGUCACCUUAGGUCGAUCGGUACCUCAGUUUUGAAAUCAAGAAUGAGCAGCAAUGUUGAUUGCUUGAUGGAGAUUUUCAGUUCCUAAACUUUGUCUAGGUCACACCCCAUAAGGGUUGAGUCUUCCUGGGCCAUUAGCUCAGGUGGUUAGAGCGCACCCCUGAUAAGGGUGAGGUCCCUGGUUCAAGUCCAGGAUGGCCCAUUCGGUGUUGGGGGUUUAGCUCAGUUGGUAGAGCGCCUGCUUUGCAAGCAGGAUGUCAGGAGUUCGAGUCUCCUAACCUCCACUGACCGAACUUAAUCUCCAUCUUCUGAAUCAAAGGAAGGUGAACUCGAAGGUGUGUGUGAUUUAGAUGUGUCCGCUGGCAUGAACUCAGCUUCCUGUCAUUCCAAGUGAAGAGUUUUUCUCUGAAUUUGGUUGAUAAGAUGCUGGGCUCGA
rnacentral:misc_RNA from 1 species